rfam:Triticum aestivum genome assembly, contig: Triticum_aestivum_CS42_TGACv1_scaffold_465571_5DS
GGAUGCGAUCAUACCAGCACUAAAGCACCGGAUCCCAUCAGAACUCCGAAGAUAAGGGUGCUUGGGCGAGGGUAGUACUAGGAUGGGUGACCUCCUGGGAAGUCCUCGUGUUGCAUUCC